GAUGAAGAACGUAGCGAAAUGCGAUAAGUAGUGUGAAUUGCAGAUUUCAGUGAAUCAUCGAAUCUUUGAACGCACAUUGCGCCCGCCAGUAUUCUGGCGGGCAUGCCUGUUCGAGCGUCAUUUCAACCAUCAAGCCCCAGGCUUGUGUUGGAGCCCUGCGGCUGCCGCAGCCUCCCAAAACCAGUGGCGGGCUCGCUAUCACACCGAGUGCAGUAGUUUACUCUUCGCUCAGGGCGUGUGGCGGGUGCUAGCCGUGAAACCCCCAACUUCUCAAGGUUGACCUCGGAUCAGGUAGGAAUACCCGCUGAACUUAAGCAUAUCAAUAAGCGGAGGA
rnacentral:misc_RNA from 1 species